rnacentral:rRNA from 1 species
AUUGAACGCUGGCGGCAUGCCUUACACAUGCAAGUCGAACGGCAGCACGGGGGCAACCCUGGUGGCGAGUGGCGAACGGGUGAGUAACACAUCGGAACGUACCCGGUGGGUGGGGGAUAGCCCGGCGAAAGCCGGGAUUAAUACCGCAUACGACCUACGGGUGAAAGCGGGGGAUCGUAAGACCUCGCGCUAUCGGAGCGGCCGAUGUCAGAUUAGGUUGUUGGUGGGUAAAGGCCUACCAAGCCGANGAUCUGUAGCUGGUCUGAGAGGACGACCAGCCACACUGGGACUGAGACACGGCCCAGACUCCUACGGGAGGCGAGCAGGUGGGGAAGUUUUGGACAAUGGGCGCAAGCCUGAUCCAGCCAU